rnacentral:rRNA from 1 species
AGGACGAACGCUGGCGGCGUGCUUAACACAUGCAAGUCGAACGAUGAACCACUUCGGUGGGGAUUAGUGGCGAACGGGUGAGUAACACGUGGGCAAUCUGCCCUGCACUCUGGGACAAGCCCUGGAAACGGGGUCUAAUACCGGAUACUGACCCUCGCAGGCAUCUGCGAGGUUCGAAAGCUCCGGCGGUGCAGGAUGAGCCCGCGGCCUAUCAGCUUGUUGGUGAGGUAAUGGCUCACCAAGGCGACGACGGGUAGCCGGCCUGAGAGGGCGACCGGCCACACUGGGACUGAGACACGGCCCAGACUCCUACGGGAGGCAGCAGUGGGGAAUAUUGCACAAUGGGCGAAAGCCUGAUGCAGCGACGCCGCGUGAGGGAUGACGGCCUUCGGGUUGUAAACCUCUUUCAGCAGGGAAGAAGCGAAAGUGACGGUACCUGCAGAAG